UGAGAUCCAAAGCAUCCAUUCUUUUUCUUUUAAACAAAACAAAACCCUAAUACCUCAUUUCUCAAAAAAUCUUCCGUCGCCUCUCCACACUCUCUCUCUACAAACCCUCUCUUCUUUACCUUCUCUAUAAAACAAAACCAUUGUUGACCUCCAUCGCCGCUCCGCCUCGCCUCCCUCCAUCGCUGCUCCGCAUCUCUCCGUUCAUCCCCCAACAGCAGCUGCCCAGCGCCCCUACCGGCUCUCCUUCUCAAACAGCCACCGCCGCCGUUCUCUCUUUCACCGGUGAGCUCCUCUCUCGCCACCAAUUGUUGCUGCAGCCAGCUCUACAAUCAAGCCUAUUCCAGCCCAAUGCCAUUCUGACAAGCACCAUUUUCUAAUCCUUUGUUUCUUCAUUUUUAACAUAUUUUUUUAUCUGAAAUUGACAAAAUUUGACUGAAGUUCUUGUUUGAUUUCUUCUUAUUUGGAUUUUUUUACAUCUUUAGAUUGUUAUGUAUGAAAACCCCAAAAUUUAUGAGCUAUGAUCAACCCUAGACGCAGAAGGAGCUGAAUAAGUAACUGAAAGUGAAAAAAAUUAGUCUUUCUAGGCUUAUUAAAACUAAAGUAAAGGAGAAUAAUAUGAAGAAUAGGCUCACAUAUAUUACACUAGGUUGAGGGAUCUUAUACAAUUAUAGUGUUGCUCUAAAUGGUAGAAUUUGACUGACUUGGGAUCAAAAUUGGUAUGAAGUACAUAUUCUUGGCACCUCUCCUCCACUACUACAUUGUAUGAUUAUAGAUAGAUGCAAAGACCACCUGGUUGUACUCACUGUCAUGUAUGGUUUUAAUACAUAGAUCAGAGGAAGUAUUUAGCAGGAUCUUCAGUUACACCAGUAGAAAUUAGAGACUUUACUGAGUGUGUGUAGAAUAUCGGAGUUACUAAACUGCCCUGGAAGGGAUAAUACUACACCUGAACUAAUUAGAAACAUUGAAUGGACAGAAUUUCUAGUAAGAUUGACAUAGCAUUUGGCAACUUUUCAUUUCUUAGUAAUUUUCAAUGACUUUGACUAUUCAAGAUUAUCAUAAGAAUGUAAAAGUGUCAUUUAAAUUCUUCAAUGUGUGAUCUUACAUCUUUCUUGACCAUGGUGGAUACUAUAUCAGUAGUUUGUUCCUUGUCAAAAAUUGUCUCAGGAGUUUUUCAUAUUUUAGAGUCUAGUUUGUCAAGCUAUCAUAUUUUAUAGUCAAGUUUGUCAAGGUGUUAUUUUUUCCUCGAAGUCCUAUCUGUUGGAAGAUUUUGUCAUUAUUUUUCUUUCUCUAUUUUCCUUCUCAUGGGUAUGUAGAUUUGCUACAGGCGGUACACAAGGUUUUAUGGAAUCUCAGAAAGGACUGUUGUAGAUUUGGUUCAUCAUUCAUUGACAAGUGAGCGUCUCCUGUUCUGCUUAGGCUCAUGUUUGAUUUCUUAGUUGUGCUUACUAAUUGUUUGGACUAUUCUUUUACAUUGAUCAAAUUAUAAGCUGUGGAAAGAAGAAAUUGAGAAAUGGCAAAAUCCUAUCCUUAAUGAUGAUAAGCUGCCGAAAUGGUUAGUUUGAUAGAGAUUUUGUAAUUGUUUUGGAAUAGCAUUAUACUUUUUUUGUGUGUGUUAGCUAUCAUUACGAGCAUAAGCAUUUUUGAGAAUGGAAGGUUAGAAUAAAAUUAACACGUAAUACUUUGCAAUAAAAUCCGUACAGCUUACCAACCCUGCAUACAUCUAUUUAAUAGGGCUCAAUGGAAGGAAAAAAAUAGGUGACACCAAUUAGUUGGAAAUUUUUUUUAGUCAUGAUAGUAUAUUUUCUUCAAAUCCCAAGCUUGCUAGGACUUCUUUAGCCUUUAGAAAAUAUAUGGGACUUCAUCUAGUACUUACUACUUUUAUUGUAAUAUUAGUUCAAGAUGACUUUAAAUAGAGAAACAUGAUUAGUGAGGAUUCAUAUAGCCAAGACCAACUUGUUUGGAAUUGAGACGUAGUUGUAGUUGUAUUACUUUUUUACUAGUCUUUUCUUUCUUUCUUCUAGCUAUAGUCAACUUGUGUAAUUUUUGCUGCUAUUUACAUAGUUCACUUUUCACUGUUUUGCUUUGGACAUUUUUAAGAGUUGUCUGAAUAUUGCUACUUUAUACCCUCUGUUCACAUAACAGUUGAAAUAUGUAUGGUACGAAUGCUGAUAUUACGACACUGAAUUUUAUAGGUACAAGUUUAUGCUAUUUAACGAGGUGUAUUUUCUGUUGGGUGGUGGGAUAGUAUGGAUUGGUAUUCAUCUUCUUUUCUUUUUUUCAAUUCUACACUUACUAUUGUCUUAAAUUCUUAGAAGAUUGCUGAGUUAUAAGUUCUAUAUUGAAUCUAUCAAUUUGCCACUUGAAAUACCUAUUGGAUCUAAAUGGACUAUUGAGUGUGAUUCCUAGACAACACAGUUGAGUAGAGGGAAAUGUGUACUAGUCACUUGAGAAGUGGAUUAGUGACUUUAAAAUGGUUUAGUGUAGUUCUUGAAAGGUGAACUUAUGUUUUGAAAUUAGUAAAGUGUAAUCACUUGAAAUUGGUUUAGUGUUGACACAUGAAAUGAGAAUUCAUGACUUGAAAAUGGUUGGGCUUAGUCACUUGAAAUGCGAAUUAGAGAGUUGAAAAUGGUUAAGUGUAGUGUUUUGAAAUGUGUACUAGUCACUUGAGAAGUGAAUUAGCGACUUCAAAUUUAGUGUAGUUCUUGAAAGGUGAACUUGUUUUGAAAUUAGUAAAGUGUUAUCAUUUGAAAAAUGUGAAUUCAUGACUUGAAAUUGGUUUAGUGUUGAUAGUUGAAAUGUGAAUUCAUGACUUGAAAAUGAUUAAGUUUAGUCACUUGAAAUGUGAAUUAGAGAGUUGAAAAUGGUUGAGUGUAGUGUUUUGAAAUGUGUACUAAUCACUUGAGAAGUGGAUUAGCGACUUAAAAACGGAUUAGUGUAGUUCUUGAAAGGUGAAAUUGUGUUUUGAAAUUAGUAAAGUGUAAUCACUUGAAAAUGUGACUUGAAAAUGGUUGGGCUUAGUCACAUGAAAUGUGAAUUAGAGUUGAAAAUGAUUAAGUGUAGUGUUUUGAAAUGUGUACUAGUCACUUGAGAGGUGAAUUAGCGACUUGAAAAUAUUUUAGUGUAGGUACUUGAAAGGCACUUGAGAAGUGGAUUAGCGACUUAAAAAUGGAUUAGUGUAGUUCUUGAAAGGUGAAAUUGUGUUUUGAAAUUAGUAAAGUGUAAUCACUUGAAAAUGUGACUUGAAAAUGGUUAGGCUUAGUCACAUGAAAUGUGAAUUAGAGAGUUGAAAAUGAUUAAGUGUAGUGUUUUGAAAUGUGUACUAGUCACUUGAGAGGUGAAUUAGUGACUUGAAAAUAUUUUAGUGUAGGUACUUGAAAGGUGAACUUGUGUUUUGAAAUUAGUUAAGUGUAAUCACUUGAAAAUGUGAAUUCAUGACAUGAAAUUGGUUUAGUGUUUAUACUUGAAAUGUGAAUUCAUGACUUGAAAAUGAUUAAGUUUAGUCACUUGAAAUAUGAAUUAGAGAGUUGAAAAUGGUUAAGUGUAGUGUUUUCAAAUAUGUACUAGUCACUUGAGAAGUGGAUUAGCAACUUAAUAAUGGUUUAGUGUAGUUUUUGAAAGGUGAACUUGUGUUUUAAAAUUAGUAAAGUAUAAUCAUUUAAAAAUGUUAAUUCAUAACAUGAAAUUGGUUUAGUGUUGACAGUUGAAAUGUGACUUCAUGACUUGAAAAUGGUUAGGUUUAUUCACUUGAAAUGUGAAUUAGAGAGUUGAAAAUGGUCAAGUGUAGUAUUUUGGAAUCUGUACUAGUGACGUCAAAGUGAUCAAGUGUAGUCACUUGAGAAGUGAAUUAGCGACUUGAAAAUGGUUUAGUGUAGUUACUUGAAAGGUGAACUUGUAUUUUGAAAUUAGUAUAGUGUAAUCACUUGAAAGUGUAAAUUCAUGACUUGAAAUUGAUUUAGUGUUGUCACUUGAAAUGUGAAUUCAUGACUAAAAAAUGGUUAAGUGUAGUGUUUUGAAUUGUUUCCUAGUGACUUCAAAAUGAUCAAGUCACCUCUACCUUCACCUCCUCCUAUAGAAGAAGAUAUUGAUACAGAUUUGAUUGGUCUAGUUCCUGGAGAUAUGGACAUGCUUGGUAGAGUGUUCAUCGAUCCUGAUGGAUCUUCAUAAGUUUAUUUUUCAUUAAAUAGGUUUAUUAUUUUCAUUAAUAAAAUAUUUAAGUUUACAUACUUAUUAUGUUAUUUACAGGUGGUAUCCCACGUCAAAAGAAGUUAAUGAGGCUGUAAGGGAAAGCGUUAUGAAACUUUUUACAUUUCCUUGGCACGAGUGGUGGGACAUUCCAAUAGUCUCUAAACAAGCCAUGUUUCAAGAGUUUAAGGUAUAUUAGAUUUAAUUAUUAUUUACCACUUCUACAAUUUUUGAGAGACAUGCUGCUAUGUCACAUCAGAUUACACAUCUUAGACAUGCCUUGACAUAGGUCGUUGCUCCUAAUUCAAGUAGCGAAGAGAAAACACAGAGUGAUGAGGAGUUUGUUGGGGCUACUCCUUAGUGUUGUUGGACUUGACUUUUAGAUAAUUUUUAGAUAUUGUUGAACUUAGCUUUCUAUUAGUGAAAAAUCUUCAGGAGUGUAAGUAUUUUGAAUGUUGUUGAAUUCAUUGUUUAAGUGUUGUUAUUUUAAAUUGUUUUAAUGAUUUGUUGAUGUAGUGUGUUGUAUGAUUAUUGUAAUAAUGUGUUGCAUGAGGAUGUAUAUGUUGAAUUGCAUUUUUAUUUGACAGGUGGGAUGCAGAAAAUGCAGAUUUCUACAUCAAAAAAAUACAGAAAAGCGAUGAUGGUAGUCGCUUUUUAUUUAUUAUGAAGAACAAAAAGCGACGACCAACGUCGCUUUUUAUUCAUUAUGAAGAACAAUAAGCGACGGCCAACGUCGCUUUUUAUUCAUUAUGAAGAAAAAAAAGCGACGGCAAACGGCUCUUUUUAUUCAUUAUGAAGAACAAAAAUCGAUGAUCAAUGUCGCUUUUUAUUCAUUAUGAAGAACAAAAAGUAACGAUCAACGUUGCUUUUUCAAUCUUUAUGAAGAACAAAAAGCAAUGACCAGCGUCGCUUUUUUAAGAAAAAAAUUACUUUUCUUAAAUUACAAUGGAUAGUGUCAAUUUUUCUUGAAAAAAAAUUAUUUCUUUUCAAUAAAGUGACGACGUGCGUCGUUUUUUGUUCAUCAUGUCUUCUUACCUAAAGAACAAAAAACGGCGCACAACGUCCCUUUUUAUAAGAAUAACUAAAAAUUUCAAAAAACGACGUUCGUCGUAAUAAAAGCGACGCAGGCAGUCGUUUUUAAAAAACAAUGCCUUUUUUUCAGACGAAAAAAUUGAUGGAUUGCCGUUGCUUUUGACCAAAAUCGUGAUGCUAGCCGUCGCAUUUUGGCAUUUUUUUAGUAGUGAUUAAUGAUCCAUGCACAGUAGAUUGAGGAGGAGAAGGCUAAGGAGAGAUAGAGGGAGAACAAGAGAGUUAGGACUGGUAGUUUCAACUUUGCUUAGAUGAGGUUAGAAGGUGGUAACCGUCCCUAAUUUUGUUCGAAAUUUUUAGCUCCAGCUCCAUCUUCAACUAGUGCUCCUGUGCCAAAGUUUAGAAAUGACAAUCAGGAUAGGGUGUUAGGCUUUAAGUCCCAAGGCAGUGUAAACAGUGGUCACACAAAUCCUCUUUGCCAGAAAUAUGGUAGAAACCAUCAGGGUGAUUGUAGAGCUGACAAUGGUGUAUGCUUUAGGUAUGGCAAGCCAGACCAUCAGAUCCGGGAGUGUCGGGUAGUUGCUCAAAAGAGAAGGGAUUUGCGUCAGUGAGGCAAGUCCCAUCUGUCAUCUGCUCCAGCAGGUUGCCCAACUCAGCAGGGCGCCACCUCCAGUGCCACUAGCAGUCAGCGCUAGAACAGACUAUAUGCACUUUAUUCCCAAUAGGAUCACAAAAGUUCUCCUGAUAUGGUUAUGGGUACGUUGCAGGUCUUUUAUUUACAUGUAUAUGCUUUGUUAGACCUCGGAGCUUUACUUUCUUUUGUAACCCUCUGUAUAACUGUUAAUUUUUGUGUCAAUCCCAAAACCUUAACCGAACCCUUCUCAGUGUCCACUCCAGUAGGUGUUUCUAUUAUAGCCAAGUAGGUAUACAAGAACUAUGUGGUUACAAUAUCCCAGAAAUUUACUUCAGUAGAUCUUGUAGAGUUAGAGAUGAUCGAUUUUUUUAUUAUUCUUGGCAUAAAUUGGAUCCAUUCAUGUUAUAACUCAAUCGAUUGUAAAAAUAGGGUCGUACAGUUUCAGUUUCCAAAUGAACCAAUCCUUGAAUGGAGGGGUAGUACUUUAGCGCUUAGGGGUCUAUCUUGUUUCAUACCUUAGAGAGAGAAAAUGAUAGCCAAGGGGUGUAUUUAUCAUCUUAUUCAAGUCAAAGACUCUAAUUCUGUGACUCCCAAUCUUGAGUUAGUUUUAGUAGUGAAGGAAUUUUCAAAUGUGUUCCCUGAAGAUCUUACUAGAGUUCCUCCCGAAAGGGAAAUUUGACUUCGGAAUAAACCUUCUUUCAGAUACCUAGCCUAUCUUUAUUCCGCCAUACAAAAUGGCUCCAGCUGAACUCAAAGAUUUGAAAGAACAGCUAAAAGAUCUCCUAGAUAAGGGAUUCAUUAGGCCAAGUGUUUCUCUAUGGAGCGCUCCAGUCCUUUUCGUGAAUAAGAAAGAUGGUUCCCUUAGAAUGUGUAUCGAUUACCGUCAGUUGAAAAAAGUCACCAUCAAGAAUAAAUAUCCACUCCUCAAAAUUGAUGACUUGUUCGACCAACUUCAGGGUGCCAGUUACUUUUCUAAGAUAGACCUCAGAUCCGGCUAUCAUCAGCUCAGAGUCAAAGAAUGUGACAUUCUGAAAAUAGCUUUUAGAACUCGGUAUGAUUACUUUGAGUUUCUAGUUAUGUCCUUCGGUCUCACCAAUAUCCCAGAAGCCUUUAUGGACUUGAUGAACCGAGUGUUCCAGUUAUAUUUGGACAUGUUCAUCAUAGCCAUCAUUGAUGAUAUUCUUGUCUACUCCCAUAACAAAAAUGAUCAUGAAGACCACCUCAAAAUUGUAUUGUAGACUCUUAGAGCUCAUUAGUUGGUCGCCAAGUUCAGUAAGUAUGAGUUUUGGCUAUGAUUAGUAGCUUUCCUUGGAUAUAUUAUUUCCGAUGAUGGCAUUAGAGUUUACCCUCAAAAGACCAAUGCUGUAAGAAACUAGCCCAGACCCAUCUUUCCGUCAGAUAUUAGGAGUUUCUUGGGUUUGGCUUGAUAUUACCGAUGGUUUGUUGAAUGAUUUUUGUCUAUUGCAUCUCCCAUGUCUAGAUUGAUUCAGAAAAAAGUCAAGUUUCAAUGGUCAGAUUCUUAUGAGAAAAUUUUUUAAGACUUAAAGACUUGACUCACCUCAGCACCAAUGUUGGCCUUGCCUGAUGGUUCAGAGGGUUUUGUUGUUUACUGUGAUGUUUCUAUAGUUGGUUUGGGGUGCGUUUUGAUGUAGAAAGGUAAGUCUAUAGCCUAUGCCUCUAGACAGCUUAAACCCCAUGAAAAGAAUUACCCCACCUAUGAUUUUGAACUCGCAGCUGUUGUGUUUGCUUUAAAGAUUUGGAGGCACUAUUUGUAUGGGGUGAAUGUUGAUAUGUUCACAGACCACAAAAGCUUGUAGUAUGUUGUAACGCUUUGAUUUUUCUGAACCAGAAUACUACACGGUGCUUAUGACCCCGAAGGAUCACAAGCUAACCCAUGAUUGAUAUCUGUACCUAUACACUGCAUAUAUAAUGUAAUAAUGCGAAAAACAUGAACAUGUAGGCCAUAAGGUUCAACUGAAUAAAUAAUCUAUCAAAACAUAACAUCUAUAUGGUUGAAAGCUACCCAAAACAAUUGAAAACUGAAUCAAAUCUGAACAUAAGUCUGAAUACUGAAUCUGAAAGUCUCUAAGUACUGUUUGAAUAAGGAGUUGAAGGAACAUGUCUCCAACUAACUCCAUAAACUGAUAACGGACUAAAAUAAUAAUGAAUAAAUCAAAUCAUAUUGUCCUCGAAUGAAGAGGACUCACUGAAUCUCUAUGACUGGAAAUGCUACUGCUACUGUUGAUCUAGAGCUCGUGUCUUUGCACCUAUGGUGUAAUAUAAAAAGAAAGCACCAUAGCGCAAAUGCGUCAGUACGAGGGAAUGUACUGAGUAUACGAGUGAGGUAGGCUAUAUAUAAACAGGGUUUACAUGCAUGAACAAUGCUAACUGUCUAACUGACAUGAACGUAAGAGUACAAACAUGCAUACAUAGUAACUGAAAUUGUGGGAGCAUGAUAGCUAGUCCUGUAUGCUAAUACAUAGUUUACUGAUGGCUAACAUGACUGAUACUGAAAUUUUGAUAACAUGGGCGACUGUAUCUGGCAAUCCUGAAUCUAAUGGAACUUUCUGAGUUUCGUACUGUAACUGAGUCUGACUGUACCUGACAGUCCUGAUAAACUGAAAUCUGAAAACCUAUUUGAGUCUUUUACUAAGACUGAUUUUGAAACUAUGGGGGGUAGUUGUUUAACCGAUAUGCCCCAAUAACGCAUAUAACUAAGUUGGGUUUCAAUCUCUAUCCCGACUGGAGGGGUGUCAAUACCGUGCCACUGGUAAGGAUAGUUGUGGGUGACCCUUAGCUGGCAGGUAUUCGAAAGGAGAACGGUGGGAACCCUAAACCGACAGGUUAAGCCACCUCAUCAACCCUAAUCUGACAGGCUAAGAUGUCUUAACCUACGCUGGCUACGUAGUUUUGGAACACAAGGAUGACUGCUAAGAAUCACACCUUAAAAUAGUAGGUGAGUCCCUAUCCCUGGGUUCACUUGGUGCUAACUUCUACUCCCAUCUGAAGAGACUAAACAUGAUUCAAAUGACUGUACAUGGACAGAUUAACUAACUUUCGUUGACUGACGGGGUAGUAUUAUUAUCUGAGAGUUAACUGAGAUCAUGAGAUUUCUGAGGUUUCCUGAGUCACAUAACUGACUGAGUUCUAUAGAUUAUAGCUUGACUGAGAUUAUCGUGACAACAUGACAUGGCUCUAGGCACACAGCUAUAUUUUUCGGGUACGAAUACCCCCAGGACUCGAUNNNNNNNNNNNNNNNNNNNNNNNNNNNNNNNNNNNNNNNNNNNNNNNNNNNNNNNNNNNNNNNNNNNNNNNNNNNNNNNNNNNNNNNNNNNNNNNNNNNNNNNNNNNNNNNNNNNNNNNNNNNNNNNNNNNNNNNNNNNNNNNNNNNNNNNNNNNNNNNNNNNNNNNNNNNNNNNNNNNNNNNNNNNNNNNNNNNNNNNNNNNNNNNNNNNNNNNNNNNNNNNNNNNNNNNNNNNNNNNNNNNNNNNNNNNNNNNNNNNNNNNNNNNNNNNAUUGAAACUUAAACAACAAUCGUCAAUAUGUACAUACUCAUAUCACCACAAAAAGUUUAUAAAAUAAUAUUUAAAACAUGGUUCUUGAGCUCUAUGAACGGAUUGGAUCCAUAAAUGAACACUACGCAUACCUUAGGAAGGAAACCUUGAUGAUUUGCUAGAGAGUUCUUUGAUUGGGAAACUUAAUUCUCAAUUAUCUUAGAAAAAGGCUUGAAUCUUGCUUUUGAGAGAUGAGUUUGAUGGAAACCCUAAUCUUGUGGUUGAGAGCGUAAGAGAGGGUUUUUGAGAUCCUUAAUUGGAGAAAAAUGGGAAAAAUUACGCCUCUUUAGGGUUAUAAGUCAUGGAAGGUGAAGGAAAUAGCCGAAAUACCCUUAUGAAAUAAAUUUUCAGUUGCUAAAAAUCAUAGCUGACGACAUUUGUGACAAGGCGUCAAAAAAUGUGACAAGCCAUCAAAAAUGUCGUCACACAUGAGCUGGAAUUGAUGGUUUCUGCCUAAGCCUGACGACAUUUAUGACAAGGCGUUAAAAAUGUGACAGGCCAUCAAAAAUGUCGUCACAUAGAAGUUGGAUUCUGCCUAAGGCUGACGACAUUUUUGACAAGUCAUCACAAAUGUGGUAAGCUGUCACGAAUGUCGUCACUUAGGAGCUGGUUUCUGCCAAAGGCUGAUGACCUUCGUGAUAGGGCGUCACAAAUGUGGUAAGCUACAAUGAAUGUCGUUAUUUAGGAGCUGGUUUCUGCCUAAGGCUGACGACCUUUGUGAUAGGGCAUCACAAAUGUGGUAAGCUGGUUUCUGCCUAAGGCUGACGACCUUCGUGAUAGGGCAUCACAAAUGUGGUAAGCUACCACGAAUGUCGUCACUUAGGAAAUGGUUUCUACCUAAGGCUGACGACCUUCGUGAUAGGACAUCACAAAUAUGGUAAGCUACCACGAAUGUCAUCACACUAUUUCCAGCCUGACAUGCUGAAGUAAAAUAGGAAUAACUCUUUGAUCCGAUAUUGGAUUUAGGCAAAGUUGGUAUUGUUGGAAAGAUAAUUCAAUUAUAUAUUUGUUGAUAGGUCAUGAGCUCAAAAAUUCCAAGUAUAAUGAGAUAUAUGCUCGUUUGAAGUUGACUAUACCAAUAUCCUUCGCAAGAGUUCAAUCGGUAAGGAAUGUUUUGAUUCGUCUGAUAGCGGGGAGUUAUUUGAAGCCUUAAUAUACAUCUAACCUACUCAUAGAACUAUAAAAGAAAUAUGGUAUACUAUGCAUGAGCUUGGUACAUGGCUCUAAUAUUGGUUUGGAUUUUUCAGGGUAUUACAUAUGUGUUUUUGCAGAAGUAUUUAAAUCUGUAUCAGAGAAGAUGGUUAGAAUUGUUGUAAGAUUAUGACAUAAGUGUUCUGUAUCAUCCGGGCAAGGCUAAUGUAGUGGCAGAUGCCCUUAGUUGGUUGUCUAUGGGUAUUAUUGCUCACAUUAAGGAUGAUAGGAAGAAGUUAGUUCAGGAAGUUCACCAGCUCUCCAGAUUAGGUGUUCGUUUGGUAGACUCAGCUGAGGGUAGUGCAUGGGUUCAAAAUAGUUCAGAAUCUUCUUUGGUUACCGAAGUGAAAGAAAAGCAAGAUAGGGAUCCCAGUCUUGUUAAAUUGAAGGAGUCAGUCAGAGAUUAAAAAGUAAAGGUUUUCUCCCAAGAGGGAGAUGGUGUGUUGCAUUGCCAGGGAAGACUAUGUGUGCCAUGUGUAGAUGAUUUGAGACGACGAUUUCUUGCAGAAGUGCAUGGUGUGUGUUACUCCAUUCAUCCAGGGGCCACGAAGAUGUAUCCCGAUUUGCGAGACAUCUAUUAAUGGGGUGGUAAGAACAAGGAUAUUAUAUAGUUUGUUGCUAAGUGCUCUAAUUGUCAGCAAGUUAAGGUUGAACACCAAAAUCCUAGUAGCAAUAUGCAGGAGUUCAGCAUCCCCACUUGGAAGUGGGAAGUGGUGAACAUGAAUUUUGUGAUAGGAUUACCUCAUAUGAUCGUCAACAUAAUUUGAUAUAGGUUAUUGUUAAUAGGAUGGCCAAAUUAGCACACUUCUUGCCAGUCCGUACUUCUUAUUCAACUGAGGACUAUGCGAAGCUCUAUCUUAGAAAGUUGGUUAGGUUGCAUGGAGUCUCGUUGUCCAUCAUUUCAAAUAGAGGUACCCAAUUUACCUUUCACUUUUGGAAAACAUUCUAGAAGGAUCUUGGUAUCUUAGUUCAUCUCGAUACAGCCUUUCACCCUCAGACAGUCAAGUAGAGAGGACCAUUCAGAUCCGGGAGGAGAUGUUAAGAGCUUGUGUUAUUAAUUUUAAUGGUAGUUAGGAUGAUCAUUUUUCUUUGAUUGAGUUCGUGUAUAAUAACAGCUAUCAUUCCAGUAUUCAGAUGGCUCUAUUUGAGGCUCUAUAUGGGAGGAGAUAUGGAUCUCUAAUUGGUUGGUUUGAGGUAGGUGAGACCACUUUGGUAGGGCCUGAUUCUGUGUUUGAUACAUUGGAGAAAGUUCAAUUGAUCAGGGAGAGGCUUAAGAUAGCCCAAAGCCGACAGAAACCUUAUGCUGAUGUGAGUAGAAGGGAUCUUGGGUUUGAGAUUGGAGAUUUUGUAUAUCUAAAGAUCUCUCCUAUGAAGGGAGUUAAGAGGUUUGGUAAGAAAGGGAAGCUCAGUCCCCGACAUAUUGGACUUACAGAAUCUUAAGCCGCUUUGGGAAGGUAGCUUAUGAACUCAAGUUGCCUAAAGAUUUGGCCUCUGUGUACCUAAUAUUCCAUAUAUUUUUGUUGAAGAAGUGUAUUGGUGACUCAGCUGUACUUGUCCCUUUAGAAAGCAUAGAUGUUUAGAACAACCUUUCUUAAGAAAAAAUUCCAGUCGAGAUCUUAGAUCACCAGUUUUGUAGACAAAGGAACAAAGAAGUUCCCUUGGUCAAAGUUGUUUGGUAUAACCAAUCCGUUGAGGGAGCCACUUGGAAAGAAGAAGCAGAUAUGCGCACCAAGUACCUUCAUCUUUUCUCCUCAAACUCAGACUCAGCUAAAGAUAACAAUUUUCCCUUGAGUUUUUCUUUUCCAUACUCAGUUCCAGCUGCAUAUCAUUCUCAUAUCAUUCAUGCAUUCAGAAAACCAGUUUAGUCAUGUGUUAUGUUUGAGACUUGGUCAUGUAAUCAUGUUUUCAGCAUGUAACCUCAAUUUCUUAGAGUUCUCAGCUUAACCAAUUUCAUUCGAGGACGAAUGUUCCCAAGGGGAGAUAUUGUAAUACCUCGAGAACCCAAACAAAUAUUAGAACCUUGCUAAAAGAUCAUGAGAAAUAAAUUAUAGUGCUUUGGUAGUUUUUUGAGCGAGUUUCAUGUAUAUUAAGGCCUCAAAUAACUCCUAGCUAUUAGACGAAUCAAAAUAUCCCUUACCGAUUGAGUUCUUUAGAAGGAUGUUGCUAUAGUCAACUUCAAACGAGCAUAUCUUUCAUUUUCCAAAGAAUUUUUAGUCUCAUGACCUACAAAUAGUUAUAUAAUUGAAUUAUAUUUCCAAUGAUACCAAUUUUGCCUUAAUCCAAUAUCGGGGUAAAAAGUUAUGCUGGUUUUACCAGAGAGCUAUCCGACUACCGAGGUCGACGGCCAGGUUGAUGGACCGUCAAGCCAGAGAUGGACUGUCAAGAUAGGCUGUCAACUUCAGGCAGUAAGCUCAUUUUCUAGCCAUAAACUAAUGUUUUGAGUGACGAUCAGUCACCAGAGUGACGGUUCAUCACCCAGACCAUCAACCGGACCCAUUUAGUGAUGUAAUAACGAUUUUAAUUAGAUUUUUGUGUCUUUUUCCACCCUCAUUCCAUCAGCAUAAAUAAAAUAACUCCUUAUUCAUCUUAAACAUCAAAUUAGGGUUUCUAUCAAGAUCAUUCCCCAAUAACAAGAUUCAAGCACUUUCUUCAAGAAAACUCAAGAAUCCAAGUGUCACCAUUCAAAAACCUUUAAGAAAAGUUAUUCUCCUUUAAGAUUUAAGCUUUUGAGGUAUGUUAGAUGUUCAUCUAUGAGUUCUUUUCACCAUGGAGUCCAAGAACCCAAUUUCAAGUUUAAUAGUAUGAUUGUUACAUAUUUUUAUGAAUUAUGUCUAUGAACUUUCAUGAAUUUCGAAUUUUAUAUCAUGUUUACACAAAAUUAUUAUUGUUAUUAAACCCUACAUAUUUGAAUUGUGUUGUUCAUUAAUUAAAGCCUUAAUUGGUGAUUUAGUAUCAAAAUCAUGCUACUACUACAUGUUUAAAACUAUUACCAUACUUACCCAUGCAUUGCAAGAGUUUGAUGAAAUACCUCAAAGAAUGAGUUUUGAUUAUUGACUACAUAUCAUGUCCUCAAAGUUUUAGUAUGAUCUUGCUGUUAUUGCUAUCGAGUCCUAGGGGUUUGAAUACCCAAAAUUUAGCUAUUUACAUACUUUUAGUAUCCUCAGAAUGAUUUUAGUUAAACCAUGAGCAUUGUUGAUUUCUCAGUUAUUAAUAUCAUAAUGAGCACUAUCAGAACUCAUAAUCAGUUAAACUUAGUUCAGUAUAAUAAUCAGUGUCAUUUAAUUGGGAGUAACACUUAGCACCGAGUGAGCGUAGAGAUGGUGUCUCACCUGUCAGUUAGAUAUGAGGCACUAGUAGUGAUCCCUAGGUUCCAGACCUAUGGCACCACCAUAGAUUUUGAGGGGUCCCCCGUCAGUUAGGCAUGACAACCUCAUCCUUUAGGUCUUCAGAUUCGUGGAUCCAUACAGCUAGUAUUAGUACCCGUGGCAUGGUGCUGACACCUUUCCAACUGGGUUACAGGUUGGACCCUGAUAUAUUAAGGCAUGUUAGUUAUAGCUAGCUCCCAUAGUUUUAGUCCAGUAUCUAGUUCAGUAUUUAGUCUCAGGUUUGCUUGACCAUAGCAUUUGGAUGUCAGUCUUCUAGUUAUCAGUGUUUCAGUUUACAAACUAUUUCAGAUUCAUAUUUUUAUACUUGGUUAUGCAUUCUCAUUUUUUUACAAUUUUUAUGCAUUUAUACUUAGUUACCUUAUGCUAUUUAUUCAGUCAAUUAUUAUUCAUGCACAUGAACCCAUGCAUAUUAGCCUAACCCCAUCUAGCAUGCAAGUACAUUCAAAGUAUUGAUCAUAUACUCAUUUCUUGUGCUAUGAUGUUUAAUAUCAUAGGUUUGGACGCUCAAUUUCCCGAUCAUACUUCGAUAUUCCAGUGUAUCAGUAGCAACAACAGUGGUAAGUCCUUAUCUAUCGAGGACAUGUUUAUUAUUUCUGUUCAUUUCAGUAUUUUAUUUCAGUUAGAUAGUUGGAGUUAGUUGGGCCUAUCCCAUUAACUCUCUUUCAGACAGUUUUAGAGGCUUUCAAACAUUUUAGAUAGUUAGUCAGUUGUUUGUCUUUUCAGUCAAAUUUUCAAUAAUUUUGCAUAUGUUUUAGACUUUUGGGUUUUCAGUUGUAUUACUUUCAGAUUUAAAACCUUAAGGCGUAUUCAGUUAUUUUGCAAAUGUGUAUUUUGCAAUUGUUAUUCAGUGCUCACAGCAAGUAUCAGUUCAUGGGUUAGCUUGCUUUUUGGGACCGUGAGCACCAAGUGGCAUCUAUGGUGUAUUUUUGGGGCGUUACAAAGAUCUUUGAGCCUAGAGUGACGUUUUGACGAUUUCAAAUUUGUCUUCUCGCAAGCGAGUCCCAUAUGGAUUUCUAGAUUGAUUUUUGACUUGAAGAAUUAAUAUGGAAUAUGGGUAUUGUAAUUAUCUUGUUAACGUAUAGAUUAUUAUUUUGAUAGUUGUCAUUAUGUAGAGGCUUCUCAAAAGGAAAAAUCUUUUAUUUAGUGGACUUUCUUAAUCUUUAUUGGCGUCCAAGUAGGUUAGACUUAAUUUCCUCAUAUGUUGAGAUUUAUUAUAGUGUUAGUAUAGGAAUAUGCUAGAUUUCGGUUGAGAUUUUUGAUUUGGUUACAUGUUUAGUGAAUCUUGAAUUAUUUAGUCGAUUAGAUAGUCGUUUUAGGUAGAAUUGACCCAUUCCUCUUCUCUUUGAGGUAAAUUAUUGUCUUAGAACUAGCUUGGACCUAUUUAACACCUUAUAAUUUAACUUUGAAGUCAUAUUUUGUAUUUGAGGAGAGAAUUUCCUUAGAAUGGAUUUUCAAGGUUAGUAGCGAGCCUGGACUACUGUCAUAGGUCAUAUAUCCUAGUUAAAUUCUUAUACACCUAGGAGUCCUUCUUUAUAUUUUAUAUAAUUUUGAAUAUUAGGAUGAUUUAGGUAUCUUUCUAUCCCUUGGUUAUCCUUGUUAUCUAGCAUUUAUUUUAAAGUUUUGAUUUGAGUCUGGUAUUUAGUGUUCUCAUAUGCUAUUAAAGUUUUAGUUUGAGUUCAACACUUACUAUUCACUUAUGAUGCUAAAGUUCUGGUUCAAGUUCGGCGAAUAUGUUAUGCAGGCAUUCUAAGAUAUGAUUUUUAUUGUCGCUUACUUUAUAUUUACUACUGUCAAGUAACUUUUCCAUGAUUGUACCCACUGGGCUUAUGGGGACUCAUUUGGGUUAUCUCUUCUUUAUGCCUUCUAGGCUUAUUGGGGUCCAACUAGGUUGUACUUGGAUUGUAUUUUUCUUGGAUUGUUUAUCUUGUUUACUUAUCACUUUUUAGUCGAAGUAUUAUUUAAGGUUUUCCCUUUUAUCCCUUACUUUAACUUACAUUCUUGCAUUUUAUUAUGCUUUUAUUAUAAUUUAGCUCAUCAGUCAUUGAUGUUUAUUGAGUACCCAUUGCUUUAUUUCUCAUACUACACUUCUAUAUCUUUUCUGAUGCAGAUAUAGUACGAGUCAUCGCCACUGACGUUCUAUCUAUCAUUCUCUCAAGAUUCAAAGAUAGGGUGAGCUUUCAGAGCCAGAGUUGAUUCUCCCUCCUUCUAUUACUUUUGGACGGUCUUUAGUUAUGAAUACUAUCUACAUAUUGAAUACUAUAUAGUACUCUUAUUUUUUUUUGGAUUUAGUGGCUCUUUUACCGACCGUACUAGGACGUAGGAUAUUCUUUUGUUUUCUUUCUCUUUUUUUUGUUAUAUACUCAAUUGCACUUAUAUUUGAUCACCUAUAAUUCCACUGUGUACUUAUUCUUUCUGGUAUUUAUUAUAUUU
rnacentral:lncRNA from 1 species